CAGCCGCCGCGGUAAUACGAAGGGUGCAAGCGUUAAUCGGAAUUACUGGGCGUAAAGCGUGCGUAGGCGGUGAGUUAAGUCUGCUGUGAAAUCCCCGGGCUCAACCUGGGAAUGGCAGUGGAUACUGGCUCGCUAGAGUGUGUCAGAGGAUGGUGGAAUUCCCGGUGUAGCGGUGAAAUGCGUAGAGAUCGGGAGGAACAUCAGUGGCGAAGGCGGCCAUCUGGGACAACACUGACGCUGAGGCACGAAAGCGUGGGGAGCAAACAGGAUUAGAGACCCCCGUAGUCCCUGUCUCUUAUAC
rnacentral:rRNA from 1 species